rnacentral:rRNA from 1 species
GGCUGUUCGCCCAUUAAAGCGGUACGCGAGCUGGGUUCAGAACGUCGUGAGACAGUUCGGUCCCUAUCCGGCGCGGGCGGAGGAUAUUUGAGAGGAGCUGUCCUUAGUACGAGAGGACCGGGAUGGACGGACCGCUGGUGUACCAGUUGCAUUACCAAGUGCAGAGCUGGGUAGCCAAGUCCGGAUUGGAUAAACGCUGAAGGCAUCUAAGCGUGAAGCCAACCUCAAGAUAAGAUAUCCCACUCCCUAGAGGAGUUAAGACCCCUUGAAGACUACGAGGUUGAUAGGCACCGAGUGUAAGUGUGGUAACACAUUCAGCUGAGGUGUACUAAUAGGUCGAGGGCUUAUUCAA